CAGUCGCCGCGGGAACACGUAGGGUGCAAGCGUUAAUCGGAAUUACUGGGCGUAAAGCGUGCGCAGGCGGUUAUAUAAGACAGAUGUGAAAUCCCCGGGCUCAACCUGGGAACUGCAUUUGUGACUGUAUAGCUAGAGUACGGCAGAGGGGGAUGGAAUUCCGCGUGUAGCAGUGAAAUGCGUAGAUAUGCGGAGGAACACCGAUGGCGAAGGCAAUCCCCUGGGCCUGUACUGACGCUCAUGCACGAAAGCGUGGGGAGCAAACAGGAUUAGAGACCCCAGUAGUCCCUGUCUCUUAUAC
rnacentral:rRNA from 1 species